GCCGUGGUGGUGCAGUGGUCAGCACACCCGACCUGGUAUCCUACGUUCGCUUUCCUACGCUCUCGCUUACCUAAGACCCUAAGUCUCUCCCUCUCUCGAGGGUCGGGAGGUCGCUGGUUCGAAUCCAGCCCACGGUG
rnacentral:tRNA from 1 species